AUUUUCAAGAUGUUAUUAAUCAUUCAAAACACAGCGAUAACUGGUAGGAUCCUCAUGGGGAAAUCGGAGCUCUUCAUAUCAUGACUCCAUUGAGAGAAAAGUUUGUCAGAGAUGUCUUGGCUAAUGUUGGUUUUGAAGAAACAAACCCGUCUUCCUCUUGAAGGUAUCAAAUUAUUAGAUGUUGGAUAUCGUCGAGGAAUCCUAUCAAAGCCAAUUUAAACUAUGUACACACAUCAAUUGAAUAUUAUUUACAAAAACAAAAAGAAAAAUUCAAUGCAGUUGUUGCUUCUGAAAUCCUUGAACACGUGAUUGACCAAGAAUUAUUUUGAAAGAUCCUCGAGUCAGAGCCCAAGCAUUUGCAAUGAUGGCUAAACUUCACACUCACAGGGGUUGCAGGAUCAUUAAAAGAUGUAUCUCAUCGCCAUAAUAAUAUACUAAACAUAAAUAAAUAAUUAUGAAUCAUUCAUAGGUGCUCAAAAGAAGCAGGUCCUAGUGCAAAUUAUUGUAAAAUUUUGGCAGAGAGGAAGGAUAUUGCACGUCAAGAUGCAUUAGAAGAUAACUAUGAAUAUUACGUGAACAACUUGAAGUCUACAAAGUCUACAAUUUGGUUGAAUCUAGAGCAUUGGAGAGCGUAUUAUAGAAUAUGAUUGGCAGACUAUAUUAUACGAUUAUUGAGGAUGAGAAAAAGCUAUUUUUGAGGCUCCUCCCAAGACUGCCAUCGAAGCUGCUGUACCGGCUGCUGUACCAGCUACAAUCGGAUCUGCUAUCAGAGCUCUUUUUGGGACUCCUGCAACUGACAUCGAGGCUGUAGUGGAGGCUAGUGUACCAGCUGCAAUUGGAACUCCAAGAGAUGUUUAUAUAUUGAUGUGCGUGUUAAAGUUCAACGCGAUCAUACACAAUAAAAUACUUUGCAUCAGGUCAAUGGAGCUAUAGAUAGCUUAGUUAUGGGCCUUCGCAAUGAUCUUAAUGGAACAAGGCAGCGCUGACCAUCUUUUAUGAAUGCAUGUUCAACGCAAGGCAUGGGACACUGACAAAACUUUUGAAACAGCCAUCUUAGGGUGCACCUUCGAUGAUUAGAAAAAAAUCAAGAAGAGACUGCAAGAUGCAGACUUCUGAUGUUAUAUUUUUAAUGAAAAAACGUUACAUGAUUAAUCAAAAUACUUCCGAAUACAGCAUUUUUUUAUUUGUAUAACAUACAUCAUAAUCUAUUAGCUCGGUUUCAUUCAAAGAAUGUCUAAUAAAUUUUCUAAAAUAAAUGCAAUUACCAAAUACUUGAAUUUGAAGGCACGUGCAACAUUAUCUGUUGAUUAAUGUAACUUGAUAGUUUCUAGUUAACGGUUAUUGAGGUUUAAAGGAUGGUUUUAAAUUAUACUAACCUUCGGCCACACCAUUUUGCUUUCGCUCAUUCGUUAGACCUGCUGUUGAAGCAAAUUUUUUGAUUUACUCGUGGUGACUAUACCAAAAUUUUUUAAGUCGUUUCAAU